UUUCCAACAUUCUGUUUAACAGGCUCUCUCCCUUUGUGGAAGGCAUAAUUGGGGAUUACCAAUGUGGGUUUCGUCAAAGAAGAUCAACUAACGAUAAGACUUUCACUUCAGGUUUAUAUUUACUUUUAUAUUGACAGUGUAUUAUUAGAAUAAUAUGGACACAUUUGUUUUUGAACUCUGUCUAAGACAUCUCUGAGGGUGUGGAGUGCCUUGAGCGUUAUGACAGCAGAACUUAUGACCUUGCGAAUAUUCAACAGAUGGCAGAAACGUUGUGGUAUUAAAAAUGGCUGAAAUUAAUCGAUAGGAAGUUUUGGAAUCAAUUGCAUGUAUUUCUGAUUCCCGUGAAGGCGUUAAGUAUUAUGUGUUUUAUGUGUUAUACGUGUUUAAUGUUGAAGUAUGAGUAUGUGAAAAUAUUCUGGCAAGAUGAAACAGUGAACUACAUGACUUAAGUUGUGAUGUAGCUAUGUCAGGGUGGGAAUACACGAGCGCGCCGCUGUGGUAAUGCAACAUAGAAUGAAUGGGUAUUCGCUCGUGUGUACGUGAUUGUGAAGACGUGCAGCGCACCCCUCGACUGCCGCACAGCAAUCCAGUUCCUGUCGGUUUUUCUGACGAACACAAAGAGAUUCGUUGCCGCAGUGUGGUUGGGUUCGGUUGCCAUUUGUCCCGUGAAGUGCGCACACCUCAAACAUGGAGUGGUCAGAAGACGAUAUUUUGGGGCUCAUAGAGGCAUACAAAUCAUUCCCUGUACUGUGGAAUCCCGGAGAAAAUGAUUAUUAUAAAAAGAACAAAAAAAGUGACGCUUGGCGGGACAUCGCUAUGAAUGUAGGGUGUCCGGAAGACGAUUGCAAAAGAAAAAUCAUCAGCUUGCUCUCGUCGUACAGAAGGGAGAAGUCACACGAGAAAAAAUCAAUAGGAACAGGAAAAGGUUCUCAGAAGUGUAUUGCAGCCACUGGUUUGCAUAUGAAGCGCUCCAAUUGCUGGAGGUAAACUGAGGACCUCCGAGGUACCCUCUGUAGGGGAAGCAUGGAAGUCAUAUUUACAUCGUUUCUCCAUGAACCUUCUGCCAAUACUCCAUCUUCCUCACUGUCCAGUAAUUCUUGAGAUGUAUACACGUUUGAUGAAUAUCUUCUCAAAUAAUUAUGCAAAUGAAUAAUUGUCAUAAGCACUAAUUGGGCUUUCUCUGGUUCCAACAGCAUUGGUUUUCUUAAAACCCUGAAUACUGAACUUAGUAUCCCGAAAGUAUUUUCGACCACACUACAAGCUCUACUUAAUCGGUAAUUGAAGAUUCUUUGGUAAGAUCCCUUCACAUGAUCUCCUGAGUACGGUUUCAUUAUGCUUUCUCUAAGUGGAAAUGCGCUGUCAGCUGCAAUGAAGUACGGUACUUUCAUUUGUCGUCCAGGAAGUUCUGUUGGAACAGGCAACCUCAAAGUGUUAUCUGCCAUCAUUGCAUGUAGUUUACUGUUAUUGAAUAUGCCACCAUCAGAAAUUCUUCCCUGACAUCCGACGUCCGCAAGUACAAAAUUGUAGUUUCCAUCAACAACAGCAAACAACACAAUACUAAAGUGUGUUUUAUAAUUGAAGAACUCACUGCCAGACUUUCUUGGAGACUGCAGCACGAUGUGUUUCCCGUCCAUGUCACCUACACAGUGUGGCAGAUUCCAAACAUCUUCAAAUACCUUGCAUAUUUGCAUCCAUUCCAGAGGUUUUGAGGGAAGCUGAAACAAAGUCAUGUAUCUUAAUACGUAUAUCUAGUUACCUGUAUAAAGUAUGAAAUGAUUUUUCAUGGUAUCGUGUUUCAAAUUUUCCACUGUAAUCCUCUCAAUUUUUGGAAAUAUGUAUUGCGAUAAAUAAAUGUCCCCAUUAAGGAAGCAAGAAAUGUACAUAGUCUCAUUUAACUCACCUUUAUAUUUUCCUUUAAUGCGUUGACAAUUGCUGUGCAAACUUGUGGGAUUAUUUGUCCGAUAGCCUGUUUUGAAAAUCGAAACAGGUAUUGAAGGCUUGCAUAAUAUGAAUCCCCUGUCGCCAAGAAUCGUGAAGUCACUGCUAACCUGGAAUAUUAAUAUACACAGAUUGUCAAAGAAUAGUGGUGUUUAAAUUUUAUUUCUUACACAAUUACAUUCUUCACUGGAUAAAAUCACUUUGUUAGCAGUACUAAUGAGUAAAUACAGGCCUAUCUUGAAUUGAGAUUGGUUCUCUCAUGUUGGUGGGCCUUUUCCCGAUCUUUGAUCUGAUUUUCAUCAAUAAAUCUUCAAAGUUGGUGGGACUCAUCCCAGUGAAGUUUUUAUAUUGGCCGCUUAUUUCUUGACAUUUGAGAGCUCUCAUCAAGUCAUUACCUGCCCGUUUUUUAUACACUUCCCUACAAUGUAUGCUAUAACUACCGCAGCACCACUGCAGGCAAGCAAAGCUUCCUCGUCUUCCAUGGUCGUGUGGACGGCGAAGACAGAAUGGAACUGAGGUGCUUGCAGCUUGCGUGCCCCAUUCAGAUGGUUCGUUCCGUGCGCGUCGCUUGUUCGAGGUGCACCAAAUCACUCCGCGCAUCACUUGUAAUGCCGCGUUGGAGCCGUGGCGCACUCGUGUAUCCCCACCUUUAGUUGGGCAUGUUGGUGAAGUAGGGUAAGAGGUUAUUGCGCUCUCAGAACACAUGGGCGGAAGGCAGUUAAAUGGAGAUGUAAUAUUUAUAAGACAAAUGAUGAUCCCAACUAGAGAGAAUAUAUGAUUGACAGAUAAUAAUGAACCAGGAUGCUGAACAGUGAGCAAGUGUGGGCACUGUAGGCUGUGACGGCCUUGACAGUGGGAGUAACCGUCCCCCUCGUUGCUGUAAUGAUGGCUUGCAUCUGCUGCAGGAGGACUGUACCAAAGUAAGAUGAAUGACUGCAUGAUUCAUUAAUUACGUACAGGGAGUAAAAUUAUGAAUACAAGAAUAUUUGUCUGUAUAAGUAAUAAAUGAAGGUGACAGAUUGAAUACAUACUUUUUGGAAGCAAGUAAACUUACAGAAAUGUUACGUAAACCGAAUUGUGGUUAAAAUUGUAUACUUUUCAUUGCAUUGUCAUGCCCUCUCACACAAGGCCAGAUAUAAAAUACUUAACCAACUUUUCAGUAGACCCUUAAAGAAUAAAACCAACUCCAAGGAAAUAUUAAUACCUCACUUGAAAAAAUUAUGAGAUACUAUCAGUGACACAGCCCAUUCCUCUAUUACUGUUUAAGUAAGUCUCAAUAAAAGCUUUUUUAUGGAUAGAUUCUCUGUUUUUCAUCUCUCUUGUCUGAUCUUUGGGUGAGCUGAGUUGUUAUUCAUAAGAAAAUCUGUUUUGUUAGUUUCCUGAUUUGAAGGUAAUACCGACUGAUCUUUGGAAAUAUGUUCACUUUACACUCUUUAAUCAUUGUGUCAUGUGGUGAGCAUUCAGUAACUUGUUCCAUACAUUUACCAAAUUUUGUAAGAGAGUGACUGGUUGGUGUGUUAUUAGUAACAACUCUGAAGAGUAGUAUGGUUUUAUGUUCUCCCUGACUCUUAUCAUUUGUAAUUUUGAUGAAGUUGGAAGAUAUGUAGGAUUAUGUCAGGUGCUGGUGUUUGCAUUGUAACUUCCGUAACACCGUAUCAAGUAUUCCUUUUCGUUGCUAGUAAUGGUCAUUUUCACUGAUAUAUUCUGUGGGUAGUAACACAUCUGUAGAUUAGUUCUUGGGGGAUUUUUAGAGAAGUCAUUUAAAAUUAUACCUUUUACUACAUAGGUUAACAACUGAUAUGUGUUUGUGGCAUAAAUGUUAUCCCUUAGAUUAUAAAAUCUUUUAUUUAUAACUAUAGUUAUCAAAGUACAAAAAUCUUAUUAUCCCCACACACCUUCCUGCCCAAAAAUAUCCCAGUUCUUGAGUAUCCUUGUUGUAUAACUGUCACAAAGUAGAAUGACACUUGUCACUUAGCACAGUGGUGUUUUGAAAUGAGGUGUGCAUUUAUGAACUAACAGGGGAGAUAAAUUUAAUUGAGUUCUGCUGUAAUAAUCACUUCAUUAACACAUUCAGUCCAGUUAGGUUGUUGAAUGUUGAUCACCAUAAAUAAUCUAGUAUUUUUCUUCUAGAAUAGUCCUACAGAAAUAUAUUUGAAAUUAAAGUUAAUGUUCCUAUAAUUUCAUAUGUGCUCACCAGAUUUUAGGCUGAUAAAAUCAGAGGUAUGUAACAUGCAUGCAUUCUUGCAUGGGGAGAAGGGAAAAACGUACACAGAAGUGCAGGAAAGCUUGAAGGGAAGAUGUAGGCAUCAGUGGGAGGAUACAGCUGCUGCUGCUGCGUACAUUCAAGUUAUUGAAAUUAGGUAUUUGCAACAAAGCAGAACAUAGUGAGCAUGCAUAUAAGUUUCUUUCUUGAGUGAGAUUUUGCUCUGUAUUCAGUCAUGAUAUAAAUUCCUAUGUUGAUGUUUCAUUGGUCUUCAUAGAGUACUCGCAUAACAUUAUUCUGCAAAUUGUUUCAGUGCUUCAAGUUCUGGAACCAUGAUGUUCGAGGUUAUCACAAGAGUAUGUGGAGACUGCACAUGAAGGGCAGUGAAAUGCUUGUCGUUGGAGUGCCAAACUCAGAGCAUUCAUAAGUAAAACUUCUAGAAACACAAAUAUGAAUACUGUAGUGCUAAUACAAGUCUCAGUGAAAUGAUCAAUUCUUUUGAGGGUCCAGCAUCAUCAUAUCCUAAUGUAGAUUGUUACAUUGUCAUCAGAAGUUAACUAGUUCCUUCUUUCAGCACACAGUUGGAACCUGAAUCAUGUUAUUGGAGAUAUCAUUUUCUUCAUAAGGUUGCCUAUCCAAGGUAUGAUGUAUGGUCAGAGAUGAUUCGGACACUGUUUACCAUCUCUUUAAAUGAACUUUAAUGCCUCUGCUUUUGGGCAGUUGAUAAUGACAGGCAGCAGGUUCUUCUGUCAUAUUGGUAUUUAACAAGCUACAGGUCAUCACACACCAAAGACUGCAGUAUUCACUGCCCCAUGCAUCUCAGAUUGCAUAGUUUCAUAUAAGUUGUUUCCUAAAUUAUACUUUGUGUUUAGGAUUUCAGUUAAUUCAGGGUGGUCCAGGAUGCUUCCCUGCUGCUGUUUGGGUGCUGGGGCACUGCCCUAACACUUCUAUUAUGGACAGUGUUGUCAAACUUCAAUACUUGUUAUUAAAAUCUAUGCUUCUUUCAUUCAUUCUUCACAGAUUACAAUUUUGCUUCAAUAAUACACUUCUGUAUUCAUGCAAAUUCUUGAAAGGAUCAAUUCAAAAGUAUUUUUAUUGAAAGUUUUACAGACUUUAAAUGUAAAAACCCUUUUACAAUAUUUCAUUUUUGAUCUCUGUGACUGAGAUAAAAUUCUCAGCCUCUUUAAAAGACACAGUUUUCAUGAUCAGUGUUUUAAAGGUUUCUGCAAUUAAAGGAGCAAAGUUAGAAUUAUGUUAAUGACAAGAACUGCCUUGAAUCGAGAUUCCUGCCCACUUAUUUUAAUUUGGAGCUGUGUGCCAGAGUGCUGCAGCUCUUUACUUUUGGGACUAUAUCCAUGCCUGUUUCUGACUCUGAUAUUUUAUGUUCAGGUGUUGUAACAAUGAAGUUAUGAACAAGCGUGACAGUUAUUUUUAUCAUUUACAUGAGAUUUGUUAAUACAGGGAAUAUUAUUUAUCUCAGAGAAUUCAAACCAUCAAAUGUCACUCCUGUUUAUUUGCAACCUCAUCAAGAGAAGACUAAUGUCAGAUAGCAGAAAGUAACAGCAUUUAGAAGAUUCUUGAAUCCCACAUUGCCAUGAAGAUGGGCCAUCUGUGACACAGAGAUCUUAAUUUGAAGACAGGAUAUUAUUUUAAGGCUUUACCAUCUUGCCUGUGCCAAUUCGUUAUGAGAAACUGUAAUGAACUGGUCUUCUUAAGAUGCCAAAACUGUGUGCUGAUUUCUGCUCUCCGUGAUGUGUUACAAUAAAAGGGGUGUGUACAUUGUGAAUGUGUACCAGAAUGAAAAUAUUAUUGUAGAUCCAUAGAAAGAAGCAGGUAUACCAUGUGAGUUGGAGUUACAAAUUUACAAUUACAGUAAAUUCCUGUUUGUCUAGUAUCCAGGCAUCCAGGAUUUUCAUUCAGCUGGCAAACAUUUCUUAGAAAAUUAUAAAGUCAUUAAAAAAAAUAUGAGUGUAUUUUCACUCACUAUACAAUAGUCCUCCCAGCUUCCACUAGCAGCACUACCCAUUAUGCUGAUGCCAUUUCAGCAGAGGCUAGUUGAAUUUGUUAUCUUGUGAAUUCAAAAUCUUUCACCUGUCAAUGUGCAGUAUUCUAUGGGAAUAGUACAUGCAAGAAUGUGAUAUUUUGAUUAUUAAUUAGGUUUCUGCAAGAACUUUUCUCAUGAAAACAGCAUAUUCAUGUAACUGGCAGACCCCAUUCUAUAUA